AGCUAUGGAGCACCGGAGCACACGGCCUCAGUGCUGAGCUGGGCCCUGGAGAGAGGAAGGGUGUGAACAAAACAGACAAAAGUUCCUGCAUUCUAGAACUUUCCCCUGCCAGGAGCAGACAGGCCACAAACAAGGACACCAUCAAAUGAGGAAGAUGCUGUCGGAGAGUGAUGAGGACUGUGAAGCCGAGAAACUGGGUGAAGGAGAGAGACGAGCGGGGGCUACUUAAGAUUCUGGCUGUAGGAGGCCUCUCUGGAGAGGCAGCAUUUGUGCUCAGACCUGAAUGAAGAGGAGGCAGCCACGUGAAGAUCUCGGAUAGAACAUUCCAGAAGAGGGAAGGGGA
rnacentral:lncRNA from 1 species